rnacentral:hammerhead_ribozyme from 1 species
AUCCAGCUGACAAGUCCUAAAUAGGACGGAACGCAAGUCAUGGAU